CCUACGGGUGGCAGCAGUGGGGGAUAUUGCACAAUGGGGGGAACCCUGAUGCAGCGACGCCGCGUGGGUGAAGGAGCGUUUCGGCGCGUAAAGCCCUAUCGGCAGGGAAGAAGGAGGACGGUACCUGACUCAGACGCCCCGGCUAACUACGGGCCAGCAGCCGCGGUAAUACGUAGGGGGCAAGCGUUAUCCGGAGUUACUGGGUGAAAAGGGGGCGCAGCCGGGAGCGCAAGCCAGGGGGGAAAGCCUGGGGCCCAACCGCGGGACUGCACUUGGUACUGCCCGGCUGGAGUGCAGGAGGGGCAGGCGGAAUUCCUGGUGUAGCGGUGAAAUGCUUAGAUAUCACGAAGAACUCCGAGUGCGAAGGCAGCUCACUGGACUGCAACUGACACUGAGGCUCGAAAGUGUGGGUAUCAAACAGGAUUAGAUACCCGGGUAGUC
rnacentral:rRNA from 1 species